GGCAGUUCUCGGGUGAUGCACCCCGGAAUCAGGCUCCCUCCUCUCUGGUUCUGGGUGCAUCACCUGAGAACCACA
rfam:Myotis lucifugus cont2.6130, whole genome shotgun sequence.